rnacentral:ncRNA from 14 species
CUUAAUCUUCGGGGUAGGGUGAAAUUCCCAAUCGGCGGUAUAGCCCGCGAGCCAAGGUAAAACUUGGUUGAUUUGGUUAAAUUCCAAAGCCGACAGUAAAGUCUGGAUGGAAGAAGAUAUUU